rnacentral:tRNA from 1 species
GGGUCGUUAGCUCAGUUGGUAGAGCAGUUGACUUUUAAUCAAUUGGUCGCAGGUUCGAAUGGUAGAGCAGUUGACUUUUAAUCAAUUGGUCGCAGGUUCGAAUCCUGCACGACCCACCA